CGCAAGCCUGAUCCAGCCAUGCCGCGUGAGUGAUGAAGGCCCUAGGGUUGUAAAGCUCUUUCAGCGAGGAGGAUAAUGACGUUACUCGCAGAAGAAGCCCCCGGCUAACUUCGUGCCAGCAGCCGCGGUAAUACGAAGGGGCUAGCGUUGUUCGGAAUCACUGGGCGUAAAGCGCACGUAGGCGGUACUUUUAAGUCGAGGGGUGAAACGUCCCCGGGGCUCCAACCCGGAACUGUCCUUUGAUACUGGAAGUCUUGAGUCCGAGAGAGGUGAGUGGAACUCCGAGUGUAGAGGUAGUAAAUUCGUAGAUAGUUCGGAAGAACCACCAGGUGGCGAAGGCGGCUCACGUGGCUCGGUACUGACGCUGAGGUCGACGAAAGCGUGGGAGCAAACAGGAUUAGAUACCCUGGUAG
rnacentral:rRNA from 1 species